UCUUUCUUGUUUUGUUCUUAAUUUCAAUUCAUAAACAUCAAAACUAUAAAAAGAUUUUCUUUUAUCCUUUCUUUUUACUUUGUUGCACGUUAAACCAGAAAAUACCAAAAGAAUUACAAUCUAACAAAAUUUCAUUUUUGUGAUUUGAGUGUUCUUGCUUGAUUCUACUUAGUUCCAUACUUGUUUCAGUUUAGUUUACUUGUUUUCUUUCUCUUAAUUCAAAUUCCCUUUUUGUUCAAUUCAAUUGAGUUAUUACUUCCCUAACCAAGGCACAUCAAGUUCUAUACCACAAACACAAGAUAAUUGCUUGUUCUAGGUAAUUCUUUCCUAUUACAAAAUUUUUAGCGCACAGGUUAAACAAAAAACUGAGUAAUUUAAGGUAACAGUAUAUUUUCUCCAAAAGGAUCAAAGGGCAUGCCCACAAUCUUCCAAUUUAGAUGGAUUGAAACUUUUAUUUAAUCAUAUUGCUUUUGAAAAUAUUGUUGACAGUUUUCUUUUGUGGAUUUUUUAAUC
rnacentral:misc_RNA from 1 species